rnacentral:rRNA from 1 species
GUGCCAGCAGCCGCGGUAAAACGUAGGAGCCAAGCGUUAUCCGAAUUCACUGGGCGUAAAGCGCGUGCAGGCGGCCUGGAAAGUUGGAUGUGAAAUCUCUCGGCUCAACUGGGAGAGGCCGUUCAAGACUAUCAGGCUCGAGGGCGACAGAGGGAGGUGGAAUUCCGGGUGUAGUGGUGAAAUGCGUAGAUAUCCGGAGGAACACCAGAGGCGAAGGCGACCUCCUGGGUCGUACCUGACGCUCAGACGCGAAAGCUAGGGGAGCAAACGGGAUUAGAAACCCGGGUAGUCC